rfam:Schistosoma mattheei strain Denwood, Zambia genome assembly, scaffold: SMTD_scaffold0000821
GCACUGCUGAAGAGUCCCACAAUAGGAUGAAACGACCGUCCAGAGC